UGGGGAAUUUUGGACAAUGGGCGAAAGCCUGAUCCAGCAAUGCCGCGUGUGUGAAGAAGGCCUUCGGGUUGUAAAGCACUUUUGUCCGGAAAGAAAUCCUUGGCUCUAAUACAGUCGGGGGAUGACGGUACCGGAAGAAUAAGCACCGGCUAACUACGUGCCAGCAGCCGCGGUAAUACGUAGGGUGCAAGCGUUAAUCGGAAUUACUGGGCGUAAAGCGUGCGCAGGCGGUUUGCUAAGACCGAUGUGAAAUCCCCGGGCUCAACCUGGGAACUGCAUUGGUGACUGGCAGGCUAGAGUAUGGCAGAGGGGGGUUAGAAUUCCACGUGUAGCAGUGAAAUGCGUAGAGAUGUGGAGGAAUACCGAUGGCGAAGGCAGCCCCCUGGGCCAAUACUGACGCUCAUGCACGAAAGCGUGGGGAGCAAAGCAGGAUUAGAUACCCUGGUAGUCCACGCCCUAAACGAUGUCAACUGUUGUGGGGAUUCAUUUCCUAGUAACGUAGCUAACGCGUGAAGUUGACCGCCUGGGGAGUACGGUCGCAA
rnacentral:rRNA from 1 species